CCUUAGCAACGACAUCACAGAAUUUAACACUAAUCACCUAUACAAAUCGAUGCCCCCUUUUACACACCACGCCAAUGAACACACAUAACCUCACUUUACAGCCACAACACAGUUGACCGCCACAUCUACAUCCACAUCGGCUCACAAAAAAUAACUUAUGUUACCACCAUUCAUCUAUAUUUUAAUAUUUUAACUUUGACGCUAGGGCCAGAUGAUGACAAUAAAUGUCGAAAUCGAUCGCCAAAAAAGAAAAAAAAAUUUAUUAUAAUAGGUAAUCCACUAUAAAUC